rnacentral:sRNA from 2 species
AAUAAUAGCAUAACGGUUUACUCAAGGGUGGUCGGCACACUCCCAUGAAAGGGGGUGUUGCUGUAUGACAGUAUUUGAAGGAAUUUCCCUUAUGUUGACGUUCGGGCUACUGAUCGUUGCAUUGCUGUCCUUUCACAACCACAAAAAAUAAUCCACCCUUGAGUUAGCGGCUCAGGUGGAUUAUUCGUAACCAUCGGCCGAUCCCCCUUGCAGGGAACCGAGCUAUUAUUUGACUGAAGGUGCUGGAACACCUUCA